AGAAAGUAUUUUUCUUUCAUUACAUUGCAGUACCUCUACCUUGCCUUGCCCUUGCCAAGAAAUAAAGCCUUUUCUACUGAUAAUAGAGACCCAGGAUCCACUGGUCUGUGAAGUUUAAAGAUCACUGACUAAGGCCAUGUGAAGUGGUAACAGGGAUUGAGGACACUUGAAUGAAAGCUCAAACACCUCUCCAGAUAAGAAAUACAUCUGAGAAUCGAUUUCACCUUAAGACUUGAUUGACAUUCAAGACAAUAGAAUAAUUCACUGAAUGGCCUUUAGAGGGAAGCAGAUCCAAAGGAUCCACGGAGAGAUCAAAAGCAAGCUUUUUGUGAAAACUGGCUGCCCGAUCUUGUUAAGCAAAAGCUGAACCUGAGACACUUGGCUCGUUCUCUGUCUGUGUGUAGUACUGGGUGAGAUUUGAACACCCCUCACAUGAUUCCAGUCUGAAACGUCUCGUACAGCGAAGGACACCAGGGUUAUUUUGUCUUAAUCUGCUCAUGUCAGGAGACCUUGCUGCUUUGUUUCCUGGGGGAUUCUUCCUUUAGCCUUCAAAAGCUACCUUGAAAAUAGGAGUUGGGCAUGAAGGAGAAUCAUAGGAGCAUCUGUGACACUAUGUAAGUGGUAGUCAGCAAGUUUGGAAAGAGAUACCUUCCUGUCUGAUCCUAAAAGCUAUGAGUUGAAGUAAAUAUGUGACCUGACGCUUCCUGACUUCUGUCUGCUUUCUUGUGAGGAAUCAGGCAAAAAUGUUGUCUGAGAAAUACCUACAUAUGGGCACAGAGCCAAAAUCUCAGAGGGUGAUUUCCAAAUACUACAUAUUUGAAGGGCUGUAGUAUGUGUGACCUUGUAAUUCCACCUGUUGGAAUUACAUUCUUUUUACAUUAAAAAGUGUUUUAAAGACAGAAAAUUAUUUUAAAGAUCUUUGGAGAUCAGAAAUGUCAGCAAAUUCUCAAUGGGUAAAGUUCUCUGCCCCUGAUAUACUCUAUGUCUUGGGGGCAUGCUGACGGGGCAGGAAUUACUCAGUGGGCAACUUGCCAAGGCAGCUCGCCUGUGUGCUGCACUUCUGGCUCUUGUUUUAUGAGGACAAGGCAGAUGUCCUAUAUAUAGCCUGGAAUGAGAUAAUGAGUCUGAAGCAGCCUUAAAGAAGUUAAUGCAAUUUUCAGUAAUGCAUACUUCUCUAUAAAGAAGGCGUAAGCAAUGAGCUCAGGCACUGAACCUUGGUUGCCUGUUGUAAAAUUUUAUGGCUGUUUGAGACCAGUUGUCUCUCCCCACAUAGAUCUGCUCCGGAGUGUGCCCUGAGCAAUCCUGAUCACCAGACUGCCCUGCUCUACUUUGUGCCACAGAUGGAGCCUUCACAGAUUUGUGGAGGAUUUUUAAAUGGCAGAAGCACAGACAAAGACAAACAGGACCACCAAACUUUUAAAAAUACCUCCAAAAUGGCAAGCGUCAAUUAUUGGAUUUUCUUUUAACAGGUACUGAAAUUAACCACUUGUAAGUACCUUUAAAACAAUGAAGAGACAUGUAACAGUACAGAUUAGCUAUAUCAAAUCCAUCUAAUUUCUUUCCUAAAAGGUUAGAAGGACACUGGGGUAGGAAGGUGUACUUUAUUGUCGUAUAACUUGAGUUUUCAGUAAAAACAAUAUGAGGUUUGCUGGAAACACCCUAAGGCAGGAUGCCAAAUACUCACUGAAUCAUCAGUACCUUCAUGGCCAUGGUGCCCUCAGAGGGAUCUGCAGGGAUUUGCGCUGAACCUGCUGCUUUUCAUCUUUCAUUAGCACAAUAAGCAAAUAGGAAUGCUGUUAUUACUGGCAGAGCUACAGCAUAUGCCACUGAAACUAUGUGAAUGUAAAUUAAACUGUUGCAAAUUCUGUCACAUUAUGUAUAAGAUGAUUUUUAGACUUGCACCUAGCUCCAUGGCAGCCCCUGCAUGCCCCUUCUGAGAUCAGGUGCUGCCCCAAACAUGGUGGGUCACAGUGCUCCAAGGAAGGCUCCUCUGGAAUUCCUAGGCAUAUAAAAGGAGGUGCACACCCUUUUAAAUGAGAUGUUAUACUCCAAACUUACAUAAACAGGGUUCAUUAUAUCAGGUUUGGUGUAUACCUUUUCACUGGCAUUGCUGAGGGAAGCUAUAAGCCGAUUAAUGAGUGCUGGGUGUAUGUCUAAACUUUAAUCACAUACAUUAGCAUCCAAGGGUUGUGCAAGACAGCAUUUCAAAUGAGACAUGUAAAGAAACUUUCGGAACAUUUUCCAUGUUAUGGAAACCUUACCAGGUUUGUGUACUCUUACAUGUCUUAGUCAUAAUUGGACAGAAUAUCCUAAUACUAUGAUUUUAGGUUUUUACUAGUGAACUUUUGAGUCUCUAGAAAUAGAAAUAAAUACAUAAACCUCCCCACAGAUAAACAAGGUUCUUAGACAUUUCAGGGACAAAAGGGAUUAUCCACUGUAAAACUACUCAUCUUUCCAAAUAAAGCCCAGUUGAUCAUGCCAGCAUAAACAGCAAGGGGAACAGGAGAAAGAAGAAACACCUGUGCUUGAGUAAAGUGACACUUUCCUCUCCUUUUUCUCUGUAGGUGAGAAAAGUUUUACUUCCUGUGUGGAUAGUAAUUUGUGGAUCCCCCAAAUCAAAGUUUCAGGAAUGUUUAUCCUAGAGGACCACAUCAAACUUAUUAAUCCUGCCAGCAGGCCAAUUCUUGAUGUAUUUACAUAAAGUUCUUCCCCUAAUAGUUGUUUCUUGGACCUUGUUUCUGUUGUAACUGGCUAUAAAAGAGCUUCUGUCAUACACAUAUAAUGGAUGAUGAUAGAAGUUGAAAAUUGGACUUGAUGAUCAUGGAGUACUUUUCCAACCUCAAUAAUUCUGUGACUCUAUAAAUCAAUUAUUAGUAGAAAGGCAACAUACAAACUCAAAGAAAUAAUCUGUUUCU